UACAGUGCUUACAUCAUGUGCUGUUAUUUUGGUCAGUAAGAUUCAUAUGUGAAUUAUGGCACGGGAAUACAACCUUUUAUCGACUGAGAGUUGUAUCAAUUCUUCAAGUGUGGUGGUACAGCCAUCGUGUGCUCAUUUAACACCGCUGUGGCCUUGAGACCAAGCCAAUUGACUCAAGUGAGAUGUCCCUCUCCGGAAUAUUGUAAUGCGCGAGUAUUACCAGGGGCUCUACAGACAUGUUACAAGUGAGCCUCCGGGACACACACUGCAUCUCCUCAAUUCUCAUCCAGAGAUUACGGUCAAGUACAGUCAACCCGCUUAGCACUUCAUCUUCCCCUGGCCAUGCGCAGCUCUCUGUUUCCAUGCUGGAUGCGUGUCUGUGAGAUUCACACUGUACCACCUCCUCCUCCUCUGGUGAAAAGGAGCAGGGAGGAGGAGAACUGCUAGCACUCACUCCCUCGGGCUCUGCAUUUCCUCAAGAAGUGACCUCCGCCAGACUUUGACCAGAUUCCUCUCUAUUUUAAACAAGACUCCCAUUACAGCUCUUGGUUUCGAGCUCUUUUACAACUGAUAAGGCGGCUGCAUUCCUGGUUCGAGCCCGCAGGCCGGCCCUGCGGCUGACCCCACCUGACAAUGUCCAGUCACGAGAGGCUCCAGUGCCCAGUACACAUAACACAACGUAGACCCCUCUGCAGCUCCACUCAUCUCCCCUCCCAUCUCCCUCCACCAAACACUCACCCACACUGAAGAGUGCAGAGAUAAGGAGCAGAAAGCCGGGUGUUCUUUGACUGUACUCCACACGGGGCCUCUGAUAACUGCAUUUUUGGAGGUACCUUUGAGUAAUGUCGGACACUUUGUGUGGAUUAGUUUUUGUGUGAAUAUGUAAAGAGCUGUAAAAUGACAUCCCAACUGAUUCUCUGUGUUUCGUCUGGAAACUUUGAUAAGCGAGCCGAAGUGUUUUGGGAUUCUGUCAAAAUAUGGACAGAUCGUCUGUAUAAAAUGGACUCAGUCAGAGGAAACAUUGCAUGUUUGAAGUCUUGAGUUCAGCUUUUGAGAAACUGCCAUGUGAAGUUUCAAGCCCAGUUGCCUUCGUAUAGCCCUUAGAAAUACCAAGAUCUGGAUGACUGAUCUUCGCUGACAUCUACAGAUAAUCUUUAAAAACCGAUCAAAGCAGACUGAUAAAUGUUUUUUUCUGAAAGAUGAUGGUGGCAGUUUUAUUGUUACACCUUGUAACAUGUCUUACAGUUUGGCCAGUGAAGUGACACUCUUUUGUUUUCUGUUGUUCAGUGGCACUCUUUCCUGUGUCUUUUGGCUAAACCUUCUGACUUUUCUUGUAUUUAUUUCAAAGAUUUCUUUCGAAGGAAACAAUGUUUGGUUUGGGAUCAUUAAAACAAAACCAGAAGAUUUUUCCUGAGAAAAGCCAACCAGACACUUGCCGAUUUAAAAGGUUUUUCAUAAACUGGAUAUUAUUUGGCACUAGAUGAACAAUUUUCCUCAACUAUUGAUUCAUACACUGAAUCAAUAGAUAUUGCCACUUUUCAUGCUCUUACCUCCUUGAGACGAGUCCUUCCAUAUAUCACACUGUGCAGACAGUUGCUGAUAAGUCCAGUCUCCCACAGCAACAAACACCCCCAUGCAUGAAUCGAAGGAUUCCCAAUGACAGGUUUUCAUCAACAUCAAACUCCUUGUCAAGCCUGCCAAAGUAUAACACACACCAGGUUUGUUUGCAGAAAAGGUCCCAUCAAGAAAGAGAAAGAGACAAAAUGGUGGCUUAAACCAGAUUUUAAAAUCUAGUUUAUAUUUUUUUUUCUUGAGCUGUAGCUGCCCUGUGAAUCGUUCAUUUUUUAUUAUCCAGGGUUGUGAAGGUUGAGAAAAAGUGAAAUUUCAUUCAACUGAGUCGAUUUAAGUCAAAUGUCAACAGUUUUGCGGUAAAGCUCCAUAAACACUGGACCAAACUAUAUGGAAAUUAAAGAAAAACUAGUUCCAUUGAUUGUUUUCUGACACAGCUCAGCUCUAUUAAAGACUCGUUAACUGUCA